AAGAAUCAGGCUAAGGGUCGAUCUGUAAUUUGCAUCACUUUUCCUUAAAACCCAGAGAAAUUUUUUUUUAUGAUGCACACAUGACACACAACCCCGAGCCUUUUACCAACUAGUUUGGCAACCUCUGGUCAACGUGACUAUCUCUGAAAGGAAAUCUCAUCUCUUCUGAGAAUAGAGGUAACGACUAAUCAGGUGCCGUGAAAUCUGCGGAUCUGUUAAACCUGAAUAUUCCUUUAUUCACGUCGUUGUUACUGUGCCACGGUGAUAAAUAGCGGAGGAAGUUAUCCCUUUUCGUUUCACCUUUGCCAUUUGCUUUUCCGACCUCCAUACUGUAGCCCUAGUGCUGCUGCUGCCCAAUCUCCGAGCGCUAGCGCCGCCGCCCCCCACCACUGAGGCCCCGAGCGUAUGCGACAGAAGAAGCUCGUGACAUUAAGGAUGGUGAGGAAGGCUGAUGCAUCCAAAGAAGUCGAGGGUGAGAAGAAGAAGAGGUCCGACAAGAAGGAGCCACAAUUGCCGGCACCCAAGUACGGGAAGACGGAUUAGACUGCGCCGCCAACUCCUAGUUGCGCUUGGAAGCGGUCAUUCUUAAAAGAGGAGGAGAUUAAGGUGUCUGUGGCCGCCAAGCUGCUCCAAGAUCAAGACUUCAUCAAUUGGAGAUCCUCCUACGGCAAUCCGUGACCAUUGGAGGAAUACCUGAUGAAACAGUAAUUUUCGCUCACUUCAUCGAGCGCGGUCUUGCACUUACAGACUUCUGAUUUUUCCGGGGUCUUCUGGAUUAUUAUAAGUUGGAGCUGGUUCCUCUGAACCCCAAUGGAAUCCUCCAUACUGCUAUUUUUGUGCACUUCUGCGAAGCUUUUCUGGGAAUCCGCCCCAACUUUCAGUUAUUCCGAAAAUUUUUCUAUGUAAAGCCGCAACCGAUGAGGGAUCAUACUCAAGUAGUCAGAGGUGCCGGUAUCCAGAUGCGGGAGAAACUCAGUAGCCUGUAUCUAGAGUAUGAAUUGAUAGACUUCAAUGCCGAGUGGAAGGAGAAGUAGUGCUACAUUGGCAACCACGAUCCCAAACUACCCAAACUGACAAGGCAUCGUCCCACCUGGAACAACCGGUGGCUGGAUGAGCCAACUCAUGGGGAUUGCCUCCAACUACCCGAACUCCUUGAUAGAAUAGCCAAGCUAAAGCAAGAAGGUCUCACUGGAGUUGGAGUAGCCUUCAGCUUUAUGAAGCGAAGAAUCCAGCCCUUACAAUAGAGAUGCCACUGGGGCUAUGAGUAUACUGGAGUCAAUGAUCCAUCCAGACUUUCACCUGAUGAGCUCAAUAUAGAUGAGAUUAUGGUGAGCUUGAAGCGGAUGUUCAAAAAUGUGGGCGAGAUCCCCACCAUUGUGCGGGAAUUCAACGCUGCCAACCCGCCAAAGCCUGAAGAUGUCAGCUUGUACUUCUCUGCUUCUCCUCCUCCCGGAUCGGAAGAUAUUUGUGAAGCUGCUCCUCGCGUGCAUAUGGCGGAGAGCACUGAGAGUGAUGACGAGGAAGAGGAAGUACUCGAGACCUUCAGCAGCACCAGUUCGGAUGCUGCGGAGAAUUUUGAAGUCAAGGCCCAGCCAUUUGCUAAGGUCGGGUCAUCCUCUGAAUCGAAGAAGCGCACAGCUGAUGAGGAGCUCGAAGCUGCAAUUCCUCCGCCACCAAAGAAGAAGCGGUCCAUUGUUGCGAAAUGGGUCGUGAAGAAAUCCGUCACCGCAGAAGAUGUGCCUCCCGCGUCCGGUAGGCGAUUCCAAUAUCACCACUGUGUCUACUCAAGAUGACAUUGAUGGUUUGCAGAUACUAGAGCCGGUGAUGGAUGCUGAAAAGGCGGCUGCUCUCGCUGUGCAAGACAGGUUGCCAGUCAUUGAGGAGGUGAUCAAUAUUGAAGAUGAUCCGGAGCCUCAUGUUGCUGUGAUGGACCCUGCCGGCGCAAGAACAACUCGAAGAGCAGAGGCGGCGGCUAAGGCUGGCGAUGAUCAUGCUGCGACAUUCAAGCCGUGCCAAAGAGACUGUUUCCGACCAUUAAGCCGCUGCGCUUUACAGGAGAACUCUCUUUGUAGUUGAGGAGAUCUAUAAGGAAAUCCUCUAAUAUGAACCUUGGAGAGCCUAGUUUGAGGCCCGUGACAGAGUACAUUUCCUAAUCUUUGACUAGUUCCUGUCUUUCUACGUAGACUACGCCGUCCUGCGCCAUAGUCUACAUGUCAGAUAUGUUUCGGUGUCCAGCCUCAUAUUUAGAAUUGUUCAAACCUUCUGGUAGGUCCAUAGAUGCUAUAUUUUUACGUUCAAUAUUCUUCUUGAUGAGCAAAAUAACUUGACCGUUCCUUUGUGAAACGUGCCAAGUGAGUUGUGAGCCCUGUAUUGCAAAGCGCUGUCUGUUGCUGGAAUAUGGACCGUUCCUUUGUGAAAAGGGAUUGCAUUAUAUGGUGAUUGGUAAUGGCUAAUGGAUAUGUUGUGUACAGUACAGGACAACCUCCCAUGUUUGAUAUAC